GUUGCUCCCAAGGAGUAGGAGCACUCCUACACCACCAGCCUGAUGUCAACAGCAAUCAAGUCAGAGAUCACCAGCAAAUCACUCGAGGUAGUUACUGCCUUAGGUGGAGCAACGAAACCCCAGGAUCUCAUCCUCUUCUUCACUCCUCCAGCUGAGCACUGACACUGCUGUGGCCCUUUUCACCAUCACCUACAACACACAGAUGUCUGGGAUCCUCUCCAGUGAUCUUCGUUGAUGGAGAUAAGCUAGAAGGUGUUAAGUUUUGGUGGUGUGAGAG